CAGUUACUCCCGGAAGCGCCGGGACGGGUGGUGAGGGGCCCGGGCGGAAUGGCGCGCCUUAGAGCGGACGGUGUUCGUGCUGCUUUCCGUGCCGUGGUUUCUGAAAGGCGAGACGCCCCUCCUGUGCUGUCCUCAGAAGGGCUCUUCAGAGACCGCACCCCUAGUUUGCGGAGCAGCAGAGCCUGCCCCAGUCUGGACUAGGGACUUUAUUUCUUCCACUCUCACCACUGGCUGAAGGCAGACUCCUGUCUCCACAGACUAAAGAGGAAUUAUCAAAAUGAGCUCGAAACUCUAGAUUUGAGUUAAGUAUCAUAAAUUAACACAGAGAAAUACAACUUUAACACAAAGACCUGUUUGGAGCCCCAGGUGGAAUUAAAAAAAAAAAAAACUUGAACAGAGGGAGUGAUAAAGUUUUCCUUCUUUUGCCACCCUCUCUCGGUGGUCCCAAGCUUUCUCAUCUCCCACCUCACAAGACUGUAUCAACUGCUUUGAGACUUUUAGAAUAAAGAUCCCCAGGCAUAUCACUGCUGUUACCCUGUGAGGAUUUCCCCAGUGCUGGGUUAGACUAAGACAGAAUCCUUCCAAGGCUUCCAGGGCCAGUGUACUGGACGGUCAGCACAGGGAGCCUCAGAGCCCACUUCAUUUUUCCUGCAGUUGGGCACGACCCCAGGGACAUGACCCUUGAGAGUGCUGACACUUCCUGAAGCCAGUGACCCUCCCCCUGGGCUUCUCUCUGCCUGGGUCUCAGAGUCUCUGAGGCCAACUUGUACCCUCGGAAGUGUUUCUGCUGAAGGACACGUAAACAGCACUGUGGAUUUGUGUCCUGCAGUCUGCAAAACUGCCUCCCCUGAGUGGGGUGAGGAGCUACUGAAAUACUGAAAUCACUGAAACUAGCAGAAGCCACAGUUCAUGGUCCUGGGAGAAAACUGGGAAGGACGGAGAGGUGAAGAGGCUAUAAAGGCCCAGUCGUGAAGGCGACCAUGGGCCAGGAUGUCCGGAAGUCGCAAAGCUGACCAAUGCUGAGUGCCCUAAAACCUGCCACUCCUGUGCCCAUCUUUUCUUUCAAUGGACAAAGUCUUCCCCUGCUCUUAUGUGCCUGGGCUGGAAGGGCCUUUGACUUAGAACAUGAAGCAGCCUCCAGAGCCUCUUGGGGCAAGUGAUGGUCAAGGAGGCUCUGCCUAACCCCACCCUGCCCUUCCCAGUUGUCAGAGGACCAGGAAUUUCAGUCUUCCAGCUCCUGGGCUGAUCUAGUGACUUGUAACAGGAUUUCGCUGGAACUGGAAGGUGUUGAAGACAGGAAGUACUCCUGGGUUUCUUCACCCAGCUGAAUGCCUAGUUCCUGGUCUUAUUACACGGCCUACAUUCAGGAUAAGAAGAGGCGUUUGGAGCUUUACGCAGGACCUCUUAGCAGAGGUUUCUGUUCAGGAGCGAAGAGGUAAAAAGAAAGCAGUGUCUACUAAGUCCUUUUCCAAGAGUCUCAGGAAAUUCUCACGAAGACCCUCUCAGCCUGAACUGCCCCGAGAUCAGAGAACUGGAAGAGAAAAGCCUGACUGAGAUGAAAGGAGCAAAAGAGAAGGCAAGGCCUCCUAAACCUGGUAAAGACAGCCAGAGUACAGAUAACCAAAGGUUGAGGGUAGGAAGGGGCAGCUUGAGGCCCAGGCUCUGCAGGCCCAGAAAAGCCCAAGUCCCAUCCUCAAUAUCAAGCUCCAGGGCCUGGGAAGCCCUGGAAGUGCCAGAGGUAUGUCCACCCUGGGAAAUGAAACCCCAGUUGGCACAGGGAAGCCCUCAGGGGUAAGGAAGGAUAGACAGGGACUCCAGGUCAGGCACCUCCACCUGCAGGCUGUCCUACUUUUAUUUCUCAGAGUGGAAGUGAGGGGUCCUAUAUGGGACUGGUUGGGGUUGAUGGCAGCAAGGGUUCUGAAGUGGGUAAAUUCUGCAGUCUCCUGAUAAAGAAACAGAAAGACUGAAAUGCUCAGAGAUACUGAGUGAGAGGGGUCUUGCAUUCCCAUCCUAUGCAGAGGCUGCCUGGGAGGUCCACCUGUCUAAAGACCUUGUGGACAAAAUCUUCUUUAUCUUUAAAAGAUGUAUCUUUCCAGUUAACUUCCUCUAUGUUGAGUCCUGAAAAAAGGCCUACAAUGUAUACCGUGGGUUUUCCAGUAGAGCAACAAGGGGAGGAACGUGGUAGUGGGACAUCAGAGAAAGAACUGUCUAAUGGUCCACUUGUUACUUAAUGAAUUGCACAUGGUGUCCAGCAUUCUUCCUUACCCCGAAGACAUGUACAUGCAGUAGAUGUUUGAACAAUGACUGCAUUAAUCCUGACAGAACUCUUUUUGGCCAUUUCCAGGUAUAGAGACCAGAAGAGGUCAUUAGCUCCAAGAACAAGCAAGAAAUUUGCUGAGACCUUUGUUCCAUCUCUGAGUUUGCUCUUCACCCAGUGGUGAAAGUCUCUGAAUCCAGUAUUGAUGACAGUGUUUUGCCUAUAUAAAAUAACAGCCAAUAAAACUGUUUUAAAUAUAUACAUAUAUAUAUUUCUAUGAUUUUUUUUUACUUUGAAAACUCUUGUAUUCUUAUUAUAACACAUUUAACAACACAGAUCUUUAUAAGAAUUAUAAUAAGAGCUAUCCCCACAUGUGUAAAUUUUACCUGCUUCUCCAAGGUGUCCAUGUUCAAAGACACAUGUGUACCUCUUCACACAUUCCUGUUUGCUGGAACACAUAUGCAUAGUCACAGGUACACACGUAGCUUUAUGGUUUGUUUGCUUUUCUGGAGAUUAGGUCACACUCUACCCACAUGUUUCUCUGCACCAUUCUUCACUUGACAAUUUAUCUUGGUUCCCAUAAGUCAGUAGCCAUGGCAGUAACGCUAUCUUUUUGGUUCUUCUAAUUUUUAACUCAUAUAUAAACGGGAACAUACCAAAAAAACAAAAAACCCGAACUCACUGCCAGCAAGUUGAUUCCGACUCAUAGUAACCCUAUAGAACAGAGUAGAGCUGCCCAUGGGAUUUCUAAGGAGCAGCUGGUGGAUUUGAACCACCAAUCUUUUGGUUAGCAAGUGAGCUUUUAGCCACUGUGCCACCAGGGCAGUACACACUGUCAA